rnacentral:rRNA from 1 species
GACGAACGCUGGCGGCGUGCUUAACACAUGCAAGUCGAACGGAAAGGCCCUGCUUUUGUGGGGUGCUCGAGUGGCGAACGGGUGAGUAACACGUGAGUAACCUGCCCUUGACUUUGGGAUAACUUCAGGAAACUGGGGCUAAUACCGGAUAGGAGCUCCUGCUGCAUGGUGGGGGUUGGAAAGUUUCGGCGGUUGGGGGUGGACUCGCGGCUUAUCAGCUUGUUGGUGGGGUAGUGGCUUACCAAGGCUUUGACGGGUAGCCGGCCUGAGAGGGUGACCGGCCACAUUGGGACUGAGAUACGGCCCAGACUCCUACGGGAGGCAGCAGUGGGGAAUAUUGCACAAUGGGCGGAAGCCUGAUGCAGCAACGCCGCGUGCGGGAUGACGGCCUUCGGGUUGUAAACCGCUUUCGCCUGUGACGAAGCGUGAGCGACGGUAAUGGGUAAAGAAGCACCGGCUAACUACGUG